AUGCGAGGGGUCACAGCACCUGGAGCUCUGAGAGAGGUGAUAAAUCUCGCUGAGGCUGCAUGGGGAAGAGGUAGUGUGUGCAGGGAAGUUAUGGGGAGCAAUUCUGGUGUGCUGUUUCAGCCUCAGGGAGAAAAGCCUCUGCAGAAGCUUAAGAAGGCCUUCAAGCAGCUGCUAAGUAGAGGAGUACAGCACCUUCAGCAGAGUGAAUCAGAACCUCGUGGGACCAGACCUUUAUCUUCUUGGUGGAUGCAACUAUCAAUUGAUAGCUCAGAGCGGAUGUUGCUGUCGUGGUCUGGUCCUUCGGUGGGAGAAAAACACCUCUGCUGCUUUGAAAAGGCGACUCCUGGAGCCUGUGGCUGGUCAUGCUGCAUGUCGAGAACCAUUCAAGAAAACUCAUCUGGAGCGGCUGCGUGUCUCGUGGGUGCCCCUGGAGAGCUGGAGGCCAUGGACUAG
rnacentral:lncRNA from 1 species